rnacentral:lncRNA from 1 species
AGCCAUUAUCAUUAUUCUUUACAUCACAUUGCUUUGCCUUGUCUCAAGCCAUUAUCAUUAGGUUCUCACAUUACAUCUCCUGCAUACACAUAGAUUAUUUAGAUUCUUAAUCAUUCUAAUAAGCACGUGUACUCACAUCAUGCAACAUUACAUUAUUAUCAUCACAUUGUUUUACAUUAUCUUUAGCCAUUAUCAUUAUUCUUUACAUCACAUUUAUUCUUUGUUGUGCCACACUAACUCUAGUGUCCACUUUACCAUUUCGAAUGCCACUCGAUCUAUGUUCAACAUGCAUAUAUUUUGUCAUCCAUUGGUAGUCAUUACUUAGCAUUUUAUGUAUUCGUUAACAUUUACUACAUGCAUUCUCGGUUAGUACAAAUCUCAUACUUUCAUUUGACAUCUAUUUAGCAUUUCUAUAAUAUGCACAUGUAAAUUAACAUCAACUCAUGCAUUCAUUUGGCAUCUAUCUUUAUCAUGCAUUCUUAAAUAGCAUACUUUAUCAUGCAUUCUCAAAUAGCAU